rnacentral:rRNA from 1 species
AUUGAACGCUGGCGGCAGGCCUAACACAUGCAAGUCGAGCGGAUGAAGGGAGCUUGCUCCUGGAUUCAGCGGCGGACGGGUGAGUAAUGCCUAAGAAUCUGCCUGGUAGUGGGGGAUAACGUCCGGAAACGGGCGCUAAUACCGCAUACGUCCUGAGGGAGAAAGUGGGGGAUCUUCGGACCUCACGCUAUCAGAUGAGCCUAGGUCGGAUUAGCUAGUUGGUGGGGUAAAGGCCUACCAAGGCGACGAUCCGUAACUGGUCUGAGAGGAUGAUCAGUCACACUGGAACUGAGACACGGUCCAGACCCCUACGGGAGGCAGCAGUGGGGAAUAUUGGACAAUGGGCGAAAGCCUGAUCCAGCCAUGCCGCGUGUGUGAAGAAGGUCUUCGGAUUGUAAAGCACUUUAAGUUGGGAGGAAGGGCAGUAAGUUAAUACCUUGCUGUUUUGACGUUACCAACAGAAUAAGCACCGGCUAACUUCGUG